ensembl:miRNA Gm54955 predicted gene, 47306
CCCAGGAGCGGGGGACCACCAGGUUGCCUAAGGAGGGGUGAACCCGCCCAGGUCAGAAAC